UGCUGCCCAUUCCAGGAGAGGGCAGCAGAGCCUCGAGGAGCGAGGGUCCCCGUGCGCCUGCGCAGCUUGCUUUCAUGUGCCCUAGGGGAUAGGUGCUUCCCUGCCCUCAGCUCGCUGGGGGCGGCCUUGGGAUCUCUGCGCCUGCUUGGAUAUGGAGGACAACCGCUCUCCGCUGCACAGCUGCAACUGAACAUCCAGCUGUUCUGUGUACAAUUUGCAUUAUAAGCAAAUUCAGUUUUUACCUGGUAACUAGAAGGUAGGCAGGAGAAAAGGCAAUUUUCUAUAGCAGUGAAUGCAGGGAACAGUGUAGCCAGCAGCCAUUAAGCUAAAACUGGCAGUUGCAUAAACGUGAAGCUCUAAAUCCCUACAGGAGAGUGCGAGAAUUAAAUUUUCUUCCUGCUUAAACACACAGAUUAUUACUUUUGGAGUUUAUCUGGAGCUUUUAUUAUUCAAGCUUUGACUUCACAGUCUUCACCUUCAGCAAUGUGCAAAGAACAGGCAUACAAGGAAGGUUACAACACUUACUCAUGGGGGGGUGGGUCUCUGCUUAACAGAGGAAACAGCAAGGGGCAAGGCUGAGGCGGAAGAAUUGGGUGCAGCAAUUUGUUCUGAAGUCUCAUGUGAGGACUCUUGGGGAGUACGUAAAAAUCAAGGAAACGAUUUAGGAAGCAAAACCUGGGAUCAGAAUGAGCAUGAAUAGGAUGGAGGACAAAGAGAGACACCAAUGGCAGAAUGAAAUUAAACAAAGCAGAAGGAAUCUGGACAGAACCUCCAACAAUAACCGAGCCAGAUUGAAUAAAUAAAGUCCCUAAGAGUAUACCAGAUGCGUGCAGCCACCAAGCUUCCUACACAGACACACGCACAGCUGUAACCGACUGUGGCCCCAGCCUCUGCUCCCCUGAAGCCGCUGUCCAACCAGAUAGAAAAAUAAAGGUCUAAUUCACUGGAAAUUUUUCAGUUUACAAAA